CCUGGUUUUAAAGUUUCAUUUUAAACUAGCACUACAUUGUUAACUAAAGGCAUUGGUCACAUAAGCCUGAAAACAUGAAACUCUGCUACAAUGGACAGCAUCUCUAACAAGCUUUCUUACAAAACUAGCAUUCAAGAUUUACAUAUAUGGCUGGUGUGAAGACCGUACACCAGCACCCAUAUAACUGCCAUAAUUAGGAGCUGCAUCAUAUGACCCAGNNNGUAGUCCUGUCAUCCUGAGGAUAGUAGUACAUUCUUUGAUCAGUAGCUGGCUGGCCAUAAC
rnacentral:misc_RNA from 1 species